rnacentral:lncRNA from 10 species
UCAAACUCCUGACCUCAGGUGAUCCUUCCACUUCGGCCUCCCAAAGCACUGGUAUUACAGGCAUGAGCCACCACGCCCAGCCACCAAAUGAAGAGUUUAAAUGUUAAAGGUGAAUAGAAGAAAAUCCACUAUUGUGUUUAUCUCAAGAACUGAAGGAAGAUUCCAUUUCUACUCAUGAAAUCAAGGCUGUCUUUAGAGGACAAGGUGAAUGUGUGUCAGUAUUAAAACAAUUCUAAUUUUCACAAUAAAAUGUCAUAAAACACAUGAGCUCUAUACCAUACACAACUGCCACACGCUUAUGUCGUGGUGGAAGCUUCUCUUAACCUGAGGCUUGAGGUUCUAGGGAAGGGAUGAGGUGAGGUUAAUUUGCAAGGAAUUGCAUGAGAAAAAUGCGUGGACUCCCUAAUCUUGAGUAAAUCCAAAUGGAAAAACGUCCCAGUUUUCUUACAUGCCUGUAAAACCUAUAGAAGCAAAGGCAGUGGUUGUGGGCGUCACUCUGGGAAGGUGACGUGUGCGUGGUCGAUUGUGCUGAGAGCGGGUCAGAGGACAUCACUCCAAACCCCCAGGAGCUGCGGUGGGAAAAAGCAAGUAAGCAGAAAUAUGGUUGCAUGAAGAUGUUCCUGACAGGUGGCUGCAGACAGCAGAGCCUCCGUGGUCCAGACCGCAGGGCCACUUUCCUGCCGCUGUCACUGCACUGCGCCCUCACAGGUUCCCCUCAUGAACGUUUGCUGAAAUCCUUUGUCUGUGGGAGGUGCUAUUGAGAAAAAGCAAAACAUACAAUUUGAUGAAC